CCUACGGAUGGCAGCAGUGGGGAAUCUUGCGCAAUGGACGAAAGCCUGAUGCUGCGACGCCGCGUGAGUGAUGAAGGUUUUCGGCUCGUAAACCUCUGUUAGCAGGGAAGAACGAUCACUGUGGUAACUAGCCUUUAAUUGACGGUACUUGCAUAGGAAGUACCGGCUAACUCCGUGCCAGCAGCCGCGGUAAUACGGAGGUUGCGAGCGUUGUCCGGAUUUACUGGGCGUAAAGCGAGUGCAGGCGGUACGUUAAGUCAAGUGUGAAAGCCUCGGGCUCAACCUGAGAACUGCCUGAGAAACUGGCGAACUUGAGUGUAGAAGAGGAUAGUGGAAUUCCAGGUGUAGGAGUGGAAUGCGUAGAUAUAUGGAGGAACAUCAGUGGCGAAGGCGACUAUCUGGUACAUAACUGACGCUGAGGAGCGAAAGCGUGGGUAGCGAACAGGAUUAGAUACCCGUGUAGUC
rnacentral:rRNA from 1 species